AAUCAACGCUGGCGGCGUGCCUCAGACAUGCAAGUCGAACGAUUAAACUUCUCUUCGGAGAAGAUAUAAAGUGGCGCACGGGUGAGUAACACGUAGGUAAUGUACCUUUGGGUGGGGAAUAACUUAGGGAAACUUAAGCUAAUACCGCAUAAUGCAGCGGCUUCUUCGGAAGACAGUUGUUAAAGAUUUAUCGCCUAAAGAGCAGCCUGCGGCAGAUUAGCUAGUUGGUAAGGUAACGGCUUACCAAGGCGACGAUCUGUAUCCGACCUGAGAGGGUGGUCGGACACACUGACACUGAAUAACGGGUCAGACUCCUACGGGAGGCAGCAGUCGGGAAUUUUGGGCAAUGGGCGAAAGCCUGACCCAGCAACGCCGCGUGAAGGAUGAAGUCUUUCGGGAUGUAAACUUCGUAAGAAUAGGAAGAAUAAAUGACGGUAC
rnacentral:rRNA from 1 species